GAUGAACGCUGGCGGUGUGCCUAAUACAUGCAAGUCGAGCGAAUGGAUUAAGAGCUUGCUCUUAUGAAGUUAGCGGCGGACGGGUGAGUAACACGUGGGUAACCUGCCCAUAAGACUGGGGUAACUCCGGGAAACCGGGGCUAAUACCGGAUAACAUUUUGAACCGCAUGGUUCGAAAUUGAAAGGCGGCUUCGGCUGUCACUUAUGGAUGGACCCGCGUCGCAUUAGCUAGUUGGUGAGGUAACGGCUCACCAAGGCAACGAUGCGUAGCCGACCUGAGAGGGUGAUCGGCCACACUGGGACUGAGACACGGCCCAGACUCCUACGGGAGGCAGCAGUAGGGAAUCUUCCGCAAUGGACGAAAGUCUGACGGAGCAACGCCGCGUGAGUGAUGAAGGCUUUCGGGUCGUAAAACUCUGUUGUUAGGGAAGAACAAGUGCUAGUUGAAUAAGCUGGCACCUUGACGGUACCUAACCAGAAAGCCACGGCUAACUACGUGCCAGCCGCCGCGGUAA
rnacentral:rRNA from 1 species